rnacentral:rRNA from 1 species
UACAGAGGUCUCAACCGUUGUUCGGAUUCAUUGGGCGUAAAGGGUGCGUAGGUGGCGCCAUAAGUCGGGUGUGAAAUCUCGGGGCUUAACUCCGAAACUGCAUUCGAUACUGUGGUGCUUGAGGACUGGAGAGGAGACUGGAAUUCAUGGUGUAGCAGUGAAAUGCGUAGAGAUCAUGAGGAAGACCAGUGGCGAAGGCGGGUCUCUGGACAGUUCCUGACACUGAGGCACGAAGGCCAGGGGAGCAAACGGG